rnacentral:rRNA from 1 species
CCUACGGGUGGCAGCAGUGGGGAAUAUUGCGCAAUGGGCGAAAGCCUGACGCAGCGACGCCGCGUGAGGGAUGAAGGUCUUCGGAUCGUAAACCUCUGUCAGCAGGGAAGAACGGUCACUGUGCUAAUCAGCAGUGAAUUGACGGUACCUGCAAAGGAAGCACCGGCUAACUCCGUGCCAGCAGCCGCGGUAAUACGGAGGGUGCGAGCGUUAAUCGGAAUUACUGGGCGUAAAGCGCUCGUAGGCGGUAUGUCAAGUCAAGGGUGAAAUCCCCGGGCUCAACGUGGGAACUGCCUGUGAAACUGGCAGACUGGAGUGUGUGAGAGGAUAGUGGAAUUCCAGGUGUAGGAGUGAAAUCCGUAGAUAUCAGGAGGAACAUCAGUGGCGAAGGCGACUAUCUGGCACAUAACUGACGCUGAGGAGCGAAAGCGUGGGUAGCAAACAGGAUUAGAUACCCGUGUAGUC